rnacentral:tRNA from 1 species
AGGAUUAUAGUUUAAAAAAAACAUUUGAUUUGCAAUCAAAAAAUAUUAAUAAAUAAUUACUCUUA